CUUUAAUCAUUAAACUGAGAAAGAUUUUCUCAGUUUUUCUUCUUUGACAGUUGGGACGAAUGUAUUAACUCGCUAAUACAAAUAUAUGGUAAGAUGUGGCCACACUGGAUUUGUGCUCGUUUGUCUAUCUAAACGAGGUGAUUGCUUGAGACAUUCUUUUCUUUCAAGUUUUUGAAUGAGAGACGCUUCUCUGAUAUUGAAUUUGAUAUCCUCAGAGAAAGCUUAGUUAACUGGGCUGCGCCCACCAUGAUUGACCAAAAAGUGGCCACUUUAUUUUUGUUCUGUUAAUUUACGGCAAUAGUAGAAAAUAGGCGUCAGGCUGUGAAAGAAUACACGGGUUUGUUGGCCCUCGGAUUUUCGCCUUCAUACAUAUUUCUCGCAUCGGUAUUUCGUUCGUGCAUUUUUGUUUGUCUGUCACGGUCAUUUACGGCAGGAAAAAAAGUGUGCGCAUGCGCCAUUAUUUGUUAUCAAAUUUUCUGCCGCAAGCGAUUCAUAAUGGCCACCAUCGCACGUGCUUUAAAUUUCCCUUAAAAACAAAUGUUUUUCGAGCCUCUGCGGUAGAGAUCAUUUCUUAAAAAGAUUUUAUUUUAGUAGAGCAGGCCUUGGACUAUACAAAAACUCUGGAUUCCACUACCCGAUCACUUUCACUUUUGUUGGGAGGAGACAGAAAGAAUAGCAAUGUUUUGAUCAUAAAAUUUUAUAUGUUGGUGGAAAAUGAAGAUAUUUGCCUUCCAACGCAAAGUCAUGCUUUAAGACAUGUGUUUCCUGAAAGCUGAUAGCCUAUUUUAUCAAAUAAAACCAGUGGUUUGUGGCUGCCACUAUUUUUCUGAAAGAAAUUGGUCCUUGGAAAUGACCUUUCACAAGACUUCAUAAAUCGGGCACCAGUCCCAAAUUGUUCUAUGAUACAAACAUGUUGACCCAACAAUUCACAAUUUCAAGCGUCAUUCAAACGUGAUUUGCAUGUGAAGAUUUGUUGACAGAAGCGGUUAAAAAAAAAACAAAGAACAAUGAUGAAACAGAGGAGCUUGCCGAUUUGCUCGAUUACCACUUUUUGUUGGAUGCGUUUGAAAUAAGAAUAUAUUCGUUAAAUACAGAUUAUGAAUUGAAAUAAAAAAUACUUGUAAUAGCCUAAUUUGUAAACUAUUUUUAUAUAAUUCAGAUUGACUUUCGUGUUGAAAAAUCUCACGAUUAAGGAAUGGUCUAGGCUUAAAUGUCUAAAAAUGUGUGUGCUUUUGUUUAACACAUAUAUAACUGUACAAUUUUUUUCAUUUGCAAUCAGUUGCUAGUCUAACAACAACAACAAUAAUGAUAAACAUUUAAAAUGUUUCUAGCCCAGAAAAUCACAAAAACCUAUUGUUAGUGGAUUAUUUCCAUUGGGGUCCACUGAGUCUGAGUGAAGCUAGCUUUCUCACAUUUACGUUUAGUUUUAGCAGGCUUCUAGAAAACUAAUCAAGACCAACCUUAGAGCUAGCUAAGGUUACAGAUCAGAUGAAUUAUUUUUUUUCCUUAUAAAUUUUAUUUUAGAAGUAUAAUAAUUUACAUUUCUAAUAGUUGUCAACCAUUUUUUUGUGAAAACGAAAGUGAAAUGUAUGGUGUAGAAAAGCUCAAAA